rnacentral:rRNA from 1 species
UCGAGAAUAUUCGACAAUGGGCGAAAGCCUGAUCGAGCGACGCCGCGUGCAGGAUGAAGGCCCUCGGGUUGUAAACUGCGGUAGUAGGGGAGGAACGCAAGUGACUGUACCCUACGGAAAGUGGUUGGUAACUACGUGCCAGCACCAGCGGUAAUACGUAGACCACAAGCGUUAUCCGGAUUUAUUGGGCGUAAAGAGCAUGUAGGAGGUCCGGUGCGUCUCUGGUUAAAGCCCACCGCCUAACGGUGGAAGUGCCAGAGAUACGAUCGGACUGGAGGAUGUGAGAGGUGCAUGGAACUCACGGUGUAGGGGUGAAAUCCGUUGAUAUCGUGGGGAACACCAAAGGCGAAGGCAGUGCACUGGUACAUUCCUGACUCUGAGAUGCGAAAGCGUGGGGAGCAAAAAGGAUUAGAUACCCAGUCCCUGAGCGGGCUGGCAAGGCGCAU